rnacentral:rRNA from 1 species
AACGCGAAGAACCUUACCUACCCUUGACAUGUCUGGAAAGCCGAAGAGAUUUGGCCGUGCUCGCAAGAGAACCGGAACACAGGUGCUGCAUGGCUGUCGUCAGCUCGUGUCGUGAGAUGUUGGGUUAAGUCCCGCAACGAGCGCAACCCUUGUCAUUAGUUGCUACGCAAGAGCACUCUAAUGAGACUGCCGGUGACAAACCGGAGGAAGGUGGGGAUGACGUCAAGUCCUCAUGGCCCUUAUGGGUAGGGCUUCACACGUCAUACAAUGGUCGGGACAGAGGGUCGCCAACCCGCGAGGGGGAGCCAAUCUCAGAAACCCGAUCGUAGUCCGGAUCGCAGUCUGCAACUCGACUGCGUGAAGUCGGAAUCGCUAGUAAUCGCGGAUCAGAAUGUCGCGGUGAAUACGUUCCCGGGUCUUGUACACACGC